rnacentral:tRNA from 1 species
GGCCCCGUAGCUCAGGUGGAUAGAGCAACGGUUUCCUAAACCGUAGGUCGCCUGUUCGAAUCAGGCCGGGGUCA